AUGGGACUUGUUGGUGAUGUUUCGAUUUCUCUGGAAGGAUCCGCCUGUAUCAUCUCCGCGGGAUUUUUGAUGCGUUUGAGAUCAUCUCAUGUAAACCAAAACAGAGAUUAUAUUGAGCAUACGAUGUCCAACAGGGGUACCAUGGCAGACACAAUGUCUUGUCGAGUGCUACGACCAUGUUCCUUUCCACUUUUCUUCUCGACAGAAAAAAGUCCCUUUCGCUCUGCAGCCUUUUCCAAGACCAAGUCAUGUGUGUUUAAUUCUAGUCAAUGGGGCCUUCUUCACUUUUUGAGACAUAUGGAGCCAUCGUUCCUUUCUAAAAAUGUAACAACAAAAUUGUGCUGA
rnacentral:rRNA from 1 species